rnacentral:rRNA from 1 species
AUACGUAUGUCGCAAGCGUUAUCCGGAUUUAUUGGGCGUAAAGCGCGUCUAGGCGGCUUAGUAAGUCUGAUGUGAAAAUGCGGGGCUCAACCCCGUAUUGCGUUGGAAACUGCUAAACUAGAGUACUGGAGAGGUAGGCGGAACUACAAGUGUAGAGGUGAAAUUCGUAGAUAUUUGUAGGAAUGCCGAUGGGGAAGCCAGCCUACUGGACAGAUACUGACGCUAAAGCGCGAAAGCGUGGGUAGCAAACAGGAUUAGAUACCCUGGUAGUCCACGCCGUAAACGAUGAUUACUAGGUGUUGGGGGUCGAACCUCAGUGCCCAAGCUAACGCGAUAAGUAAUCCGCCUGGGGAGUACGUACGCAAGUAUGAAACUCAAAGGAAUUGACGGUG